rnacentral:rRNA from 1 species
GGAGUCUAACACAUAUGCGAGUGUGCUGGCGGAAAAACCAACACGCGUAAUGAAAGUAACAGGUGCCAAGCGCAAGCAGCAGCAUCGGCCGACCAUGAUCAUUAGAGAAAGGUUUGAGUAUGAGCAUAUUUGUUAGGACCCGAAAGAUGGUGAACUAUGCUUGAGUAGGGUGAAGUCAGGGGAAACUCUGAUGGAGGCUCGUAGCGAUACUGACGUGCAAAUCGUUCGUCAAAACUUGAGUAUAGGGGCGAAAGACUAAUCGAACCAUCUAGUAGCUGGUUCCUCCCGAAGUUUCUCUCAGGAUAGCAAGAUCAAUAUUGCAGUUUUAUCAGGUAAAAGCGAAUGAUUAGAGGAUUCUGGGGGAGUAAUUCCCUAGACCUAUUCUCAAACUUUAAAUUGGUAAGAACUCGUUAUUUCUUAAUUGAAUAGCGGGGAUGAAUGCAUGAUCUUAGUGGGCCAUUUUGGUAAGCAGGACUGGCGAUGAGGGAUGAACCUAACGUUGAG